GUUUCUAUUGUAUGGUCCAGAUCUGCUUCGCCAGAGUUCAUUGUAAUCAAACUCAUAUAUUGAAGAAAGCUACUUAAAGGAAAAUGCCCCGCAAUAUAUGUAAAUAGAAGUAAAUGAGGACAUCAUCGAGGAAGCUUUGGUAUAUGAUUGUAUAGAAUUUUAGUAUUUUUUUCUUUUCA